rnacentral:rRNA from 1 species
UACGUAGGAGGCGAGCGUUGUCCGGAAUUAUUGGGCGUAAAGAGCUCGUAGGCGGUUUGUCGCGUCUGCUGUGAAAACUCAGGGCUUAACCCUGAGCCUGCAGUGGGUACGGGCAGACUAGAGUGUGGUAGGGGAGAUCGGAAUUCCUGGUGUAGCGGUGGAAUGCGCAGAUAUCAGGAGGAACACCGGUGGCGAAGGCGGAUCUCUGGGCCAUAACUGACGCUGAGGAGCGAAAGCAUGGGGAGCAAACAGG